AUUCCUGGGGAAUUUCUGACGGAAAUAUCUUAGGGGCUUAGGCUAUGAAAUCUUUCCUGUCCAUAGGAAAUUUCUCAACCAAAAGAAGAAUUAUUUGUUAAACAAACCUAUCCAACAAAGGGUCUGCUCAUGAAAUUGACUUAGCUCAAAAGGUACAUGUGAACUUGCUAUAUAGUUUUUGUCGUUGAUAUGAAUCAAUGAAUGAUCUAUAUUCAAUUUGAUCUUGAACAUUCAAAUCAUUUUUUAACCAGACCAAUUCAUACUCUUCAGUUGAUAUAUUCAUUGAAUACUUACUAUCUUUCAUUUGUUAUUGAUAACAAAAAAGAACAUAAACGUGGCCACGAGGUCUUUAAAAUUUGAAGGCAUAUCCAAAAAAAAAUGCAGCUACUGAAAAGACAAUUAUCUUGCUUGCAAACAUAUAUGGGUAACAAGACCGAUGCUAUUGUCCC
rnacentral:lncRNA from 1 species